AUUACGGCUCAGUAACACGUGGUUAACCUGCCCUAAGGUGGAGAAUACUCCCGGGAAACUGGGGCUAAUGCUCCAUAGUGGAUAUGUCCUGGAAUGGUAUAUCCUCGAAAGAUCCGUCGCCUUAGGAUGGGACUGCGUCCGAUUAGGUUGUUGGCGGGGUAACGGCCCACCAAGCCAUUGAUCGGUACGGGUUGUGGGAGCAAGAUCCCGGAGAUGGAUUCUGAGACAUGAAUCCAGGCCCUACGGGGCGCAGCAGGCGCGCAAACUUUACAAUGCGAGCAAUCGUGAUAAGGAAACCCUGAGUGCCUGUCGAUGCAGGCUGUUCAUAUAUCUAAAUCAUAUGUGAAGAAAGGGCAGGGCAAGACCGGUGCCAGCAGCCGCGGUAAUAAUC
rnacentral:rRNA from 1 species